ensembl:lncRNA
UUUGUGUUGCAGUUUUUGAAAGUUAAUAUCAACUGGAAUAUGUAUCACACAGAUCUACUGAUUACAGCAAGUUUUGAAGUAUUAUAACUAACCCUUAUUCUGCAAUAUAUGUGAAAUAUAUUUGUGAGUAUGCAUCACAAAAAAAGUAACUGCAGUGAACAAAAAGCCAAUAUUUCCGUUUAAACCUGGGUCCUCUGUUACACUCACCUACUUCACCACAAUUAAAACACCUUCAAGUCACUGUACAAGGUACACCUGUCUAGAACAAAGCAUGGAAAAACAUGGAAUCAACAAUGUGAUGCGCUGUUUCACAGAACUUUAGCUUCAUGCUAACUGUACCUAAAUUGUACAACUCAUUUUGAAAAACUUGUCACAGAGGUGGUCAUCAAGGGAUAUACUUGGUUAUACAAGCCUAUUAAACAGAUCCAACAUACUGAAUGUCAAGACAAUGUUCACCACCAAUUGUCAAACAUGGCUAUCACCUUUAGGUCAACAGGUGUUACUGUGCACGAUUCACCAGUCUUUUAUCAUGAUCUGGCAUCAUGUUUCUCAUCGACUGAUGCCACAAAACACUCUUAUUUCUCAACCACCUGUCUGCCUUAUAGUAUUUAAUGCCCACUUUUUAGAGACAGGGGUAGCUGCAGCCUGGAGCAAUGGGCGUGCCGAAAGGUAGGGGCGUGCCAAAAGGUAGGGGCGUGCCAAAAGGUAGGGGCAUGCCAAAAGGUUUCUCAUUGGUGAAAGGAGUUUUACUGUGUUGGCCAAUCAGCGGUAAAUAUACAUUUACGUAAUUUCCUUUAGACAAGAGAAGGUGGCGGCGAUAAGUCGUGGUGUAAUAAUUAUUCAUCAUACGUUUAUCUAUACUUUAUAUACCACAAAUAUGUAUAUUAAGAUAGCAUGUUACAAUACGAUCAUAAUUUUUCCUUUGCGUUAUAUCUUGCAGCAGUAAUUAGUUUAUUGUUGUUGACAGACAUACUGUAUGUACAGUGAGACAAAACGAUGAGCGCAUCUGCAUCGAAGGUGAAGCUCUCAGAGUUGAUAGUUUGUAUCUGCGUCCUUUUUGUGCAAUACAGUACAGAAUACAUCCUGUGUCCAACUAAUGCAGAGUAUAUUCAAGUUGCUAACACACUGGUUGUGAAGUACCCUUUCCAGAAAAAUAUAAAAGAAAAUGACUGUAUAAGUUGCAUUGUUUUUAAUUCAUGGAUUUAUCUCUAUCAACACAAUCACACACGAUAUUGUAGUAUCAAUAUAUUGUAA